GGAGAGCUGUCCGAGUGGUCAAAGGUGCUUGAUUCGAAAUCAAGUGUACCGAGAGGUACCAAGGGUUCGAAUCCCUUGCUCUCCGCCA
rnacentral:tRNA from 1 species